UACGGAGGGUGCGAGCGUUGUCCGGAAUCACUGGGCGUAAAGGGCGCGUAGGCGGUUCGUUAAGUUGCUGGUGAAAUCCCGGGGCUCAACUCCGGGGCUGCCAGUAAGACUGGCGGGCUAGAGCACGGUAGAGGCAGAUGGAAUUCCCGGUGUAGCGGUGGAAUGCGUAGAUAUCGGGAAGAAUACCGGUGGCGAAGGCGUUCUGCUGGGCCGUUGCUGCGCUGAGGCGCGACAGCGUGGGGAGCAAACAGGAUUAGAAACCCCG
rnacentral:rRNA from 1 species